CCUGGAGAAAUAAGAACUGAAUUUAGGUUUUCUGAGAUGCGAGACGCGAAGCUGAAUUUGAGCCAGGACCACGGAGAACAAACCACCAAAGGGCUUAAGUCCUGUCUUAUCUUAAAUCAUCUGCCUGCUUUGCACCACGGAGUGCCCCGUGCAACAGCUACUUGGACUUCUGUUGCUCCAACCGAAACAAUGCUGAUGUCCUUCUGUGCAGAACUUAUGCCACUCUGGGUCAUUGCAGGAGGACAGGAGACUGCACCUGAGAGUGUUCCUAUCAAUGGGAGCACCCUACCUCUCUUUCAGAUCCUGCUCCUCGGUGCCAAGGCGAGUUGGUACUGUAUUAUUGUUGCCCGCAUCCUCUCUCUGGAAAACAGCAGUUCUAUGAGCACAUUCCCCUCCUGCCUGCUGCCUGUCCCACUUUUACUCCACAAAUCAUGUAAAACUGAAAGAAGGAUAUAAAACAAGCGAGAAAUUCUUUCAACAGAACACGAUAACAUUUCCCUUUUAGCAUCGCAUUUGAGAGUGAUCUGUUCUGAAGAGUUGCCUUUCCAUGCUGGCAGGGAUGAGGCAUUUAGGUAAGGUGAAAAGACUGAAGAUCCAAAACUCCCCGCUCAAAGGGAGAAUGCCUGGCCCAUUGUCUGGUGUGAUUAAUGAAGCCUUUUUGCAUAGCGAGAUAAUGUGAUGUGUGCUGAGUAUGGAAUGCUACUGCACAGCAGAAAUAUCAGUAGUAUGAAUAAUAUUCGGCACGAUAACAACAUCAAUAAGCUAAUCUAUGUAUUACUGGAUUCGGCUCCAAAAUGCCUCAAAUGAUAUUUGUUUAUUUCAUAAUUGCCAGCCACUUUGAUGCACUUGUCGUCAGGUUCAACAAGUGCUCCAAGCUACAAGGGCCUGAAACAAAGGGAGGCACUUGGAUGAGCUUUGCAGGUUGGUGCAGUUUGGGACGAUGGAGGUGAAGUUCUGUGGCUGCUCCUCUCCGCUGCCCUGGGCAUCCAGGUGCUGCUCUCUGCAUGGGUUUACAAACACAUCCUCUCUCCGGAGGACUGUAGUAAACCAAAAUACUUCAACCCUCUUAAAAGACAUUUGUAUUUCAGCAUGAGCCUUUGGGAGUCAUCGGCGACUUUAGGACAAAAAGUGAGCACAGCAGCGAACAGCAUGCAUGAAAAAGAAGUGUGUUCCCUCGUGCUGGAGUGAUGUUCAGGUCAGAACUGCAUUCCGGUGAUGGUGGGCUCUCUGUCUUUCCCCCUUCUGCAUGAGGUGUGGAGCUGUGUGUGUGGACCCCAUGGUCUGAAUGUCACUUAGGGUGACAGCUCUAUGCCAUCCCUUAAUUUCUUUGAAAUCUAGUUUUGAGAAGACAUGAUAUAUUUUUUUUUUUUCACUCUCAUGCUGGUUUACUGUGAUUUAUUACUUUUCCCCUCCAUUCUGUAUAGAAUAUUAUUCCUGGGAUGAAUGAAAUGGUCCGUACUUAUAAAGCACUCAUUCAUUCGAAAAGCAGAACAAGCGUAGGACUGUUAAAUUAAUUAAACUGUGUCUGUUCAGUGCUCAACAUCACCGGGCCCUGCCCUCUGCACUCCAUUUUCUGGCUCGCACUGGUAAAAUAUCACACCGAAUCUCAACAGGAACCUGAAGCAGAGGCCCUUAAAACACCUUGAGAACAGACUGAAAAUAUUCCAAUGGUGGUGUGUGUGGGGCUGAAACUAAUUUCAGAGCACUCUCUAAGUAGUAGAAAGGAUAACCAGGUAGGAUGUGUGAAUAGCAAGGGUCUGCCUCGCUGGGCUGACUUUACAAGCUUAAAGUCCAACAUGCUUUGCCUGGAAGUAGAUGUGCACAGCGCCGGUGCUGAUGGGGACACUCAUGUCCAACAGCAGCGGUCCAGCAAACUUUGCAAGGAACGAGUCUUUGUUCUCCCUCCAGACAUAAAAAUCAUCUUUCCUAUUUUAUUUUGGCUUUUUUUUUUUUCUUUUUAUUUUGCAGAAAAAUAAGCCCAGAACUCACGUGCAACAGUCACCGUCUGGCUUAUCCCGACCCCCUUUUCUCACAUCCUAAAGAUUACAUCCCUGCUUCUUAUUUCCAAACUGACUUAAAAGCGGGCGUUUCGCGAACCUACACAUUUGCCUACGGGGACUGUGGAUGAAUAUCUUUAUUUUGUCAAUAAAUGGAAGCGUGGAAUCAAACAAACAAACAAAGUUCAAGGCAACUUAAGAAGCUCUUCAGGGCAACACCCCGACGGUUUAAUCACAAUUGUGCGACCGUUCAUAGGAGAGAUAGGGAGCUGGAAACCUCGCAGUGCCCCGGGCAAUCUCCCCGGCACCCCCAGGGCUGCUUUCUGCAGUAGGGGAUGAGCGGAACGGGUGCUGGGUCGGGCAAAGGCUUUUUCUUUAAGCUUAUGCUAAAAGCAAAGAGAGAGAGAAGGAAAAGAAAGAAAAGAAAAGCAACCAAACAACUCCCUCUCAACCCCGAACAAGAGACCAGAAGGAAAAAGAAAAAGAAAGAAAGGGGGGGAAAAAUCCUCCACCCGAAAAUCGACGUGAGGGUAAUUUUCGGGAGCGACGGCAAAACCGCCUCCCGCACCUCCGCUCUUAAAGCUUCUCGGUGUAGCAGAGCCGCGAGCGUUUUAAUCCCGUCUGUUGUAAUGGUGAUUAUCGAAAGAGGAAAGAAACCAACGAAAGGAACCCCCCGAGCCGCGGGCGGGGGCUGAGGCGGCGCGGCGGUGCGGUGCGAUGCGGUGCGAUGCGGGCAGACAGGGCUCGGCAGCGCCCGGGGCAGCGGCUCAGGAGCAUGCAGAACCAGAUGGGUCCGAUUCAGUCCUUGGUGAGGAUGCCCACAGAUGAGCCUGCAAUAGGAAACCUGCACCAAAGCUGCAGGCAUUCUUGCUGCUUCCCGACAUGCUGCAAGGAAUGCUGAGGAUUGUUGGAGGGACUUGGAACUGAUGCAAGUGGCAGUACUCUCUUUGUGUAUAGUGCUGAGACUCUCUAACCCUUCAUUUUCACUGCUCUGAGGUAGUUACCAUGGAAUAGAUACCCAGGACACAUUUAGCGUAGGCUGCUUUUGUUUUUACUGCAGCGUUGUUAGGUGCAGAGGACUAAGGAUGGAGGGAUGACCACGAGCUCUGUUGCAGUAAAAACCCUCAGUCUUUCCUCCACAAGGGACGGAAAUAUCCAUUAAGAUUUCCAUUCUAGAAAUGUAGAGAGGGAUGUUUUGGCUGCUUGCAGCACAUCUGCUUUCAGGCUUACAUUGGUAGCUACUUCUAACCCGUUGUUCUUCACAUUUAACAGCAGAUGGGUUACAAGCAGCCAGGAGAAGCCAGAUGGCUGCUGACUUGGUCCUUGCACUGCAAUAGUGAAUUAGAAACUCGAACACAAAACAGUCAGCAGCUGGGGUUUGCCUUUUGACUCGUCUCACCUGAAUUCCCAGCAAUGUGACACUGGCUCCAUGUGUGUCCCUGCACACUCACACCAGGUGUGGCUGCCUCCCAGGAGCCCUGGGCUCUUUGUUACCUCUCCUCUCAUUCACUGUGCCCCAGGCUGAGGUGGCCCGCAGCCCCACAUUGCGUACAGAAGGGUUCCCAAGGCAGCCUGGUCUCAGAUGCAGGAGCAGCAUCCAGGCUCACACUCCACAACAGAGGGGACAGCCAUGCACUCAGCAAGCUCUGGAAAUAAGUGGAAAUCAAGUUUGCCACUUUGUCCCCCUUUCAAUAUCUAGCUUUGAUCGAAGUCCUUGGCUACUUGAGUGGUUGUUGACUUAAUGUGGUAAUGAGACAUGCCCUUAAACGAGGUGAUUUCAGUGCCCACUCCUGGAAAAGGAGACACAGAAGAGGAAGCUUCCCUGAUCUGUGAGCUAGAGGCAGCUCAGCAGAGACCCAGCUGCAGCUGCUGGUGCUUCCCAGACAGGGGAUAUGGUUGCGCAUCCCCCUGCUGUCCUCUGAGCUCAGGGGCUGACCAGUUGCAGCUGUGGUAGGCAGUGGGCAGGGACAGGUGAGGUUUCCCCAGGGGAGCAUUUUGCAAUCAGCUUUAUCAAAAGGCAAAGCAGUUGCAGUGCUUUAGCAGUGUUGUGAUUUGCAGCACAGAGCAGAACAGGUGCUUCCAUCAUGUAGAUUGUCCUCCAGGAGGGGUCCCUUUCCUACUUCAAUACACCAAGCCAGCUUACUACUACUACUGUACUGACAGCAGGAAGCUGGAGUUUAUUCUGGAAGAGACAACAUACUACAGCCUACACAAGGGAUAUUUGCAAAGGGUUUGCCAGAAUAAGCAUCGAUUUUCUGCCUGAAGUGAUGGUGCAGGUCAGCAGGAGCUGCCCCAAGGAACUCAGAAGUCAUUGCAAUAGAUGCACCAAGCACCAACAGCAGCUGCCCUCAAGGAUCCAACCACAUCAGAGAACAUCUUAAUUAAAUGGGACCACGAAACUCUUUUGAAGUUCUGAAGAAAACAGUCAGACAAUCAUCGAGGACAGCUCAAAUACAUCCGUGCUCUUGCUGUAUAAUAUUCCUGCGAUACUGGAUUGGUGUUGAUUAUGACAAACGAAGCCAGAGAUCAAAAGGAACAAUAGCUUGUACUCAAGGAUAUCUGUAUAAUACCCGAAGGAUGUUUGUGCAGGUGAGGAAGGAGUGAAGCAUUGUUUCAUCAAAUGGUAAUUUCCCUGCAUCUCAAAGAAUGAAUCCCAUUUGCUAGUCAGGAGCAUAAUUCAAUUAAGGGGGAGAAGGAGUAACAUCUCUUAGAACGGGAUGUUGUGAAUCACACUGAGGAGGAAAAUGCCAUUUGGUUCUGACAAUAUGAUUUAUUUCCUACUCGGUAUCUUGCAAUUCCUACAAGAUAAGCCAAGACUAGAAAUUACUGUAUGUAUAUGGGGGCUGUGUGUCUGAUCCUCUUUAAAUUCUCUUCUUGACUUUGGCACUGUGUGUUCCAGCCUUAUCUCUCCAGAGGUCAGCAAUACUAACGGUGAUACUUCCAGCAGCAGGGGGCUGCGUGAGCCCACCCAAGGGCUCGCAGUGGAUCCUAGAGCAGCACUUCUUAUAUUUAGAGGGAUUUUUAGUUAAUUUGCUAUCUGCCCUGGAACAAUCUGCUUUAAGGGCUUUUGGGCAGCGAUGAACUCACAGAGCCUGAGACUUUGAGCACGGAGUUGCUCCAAGUUUUACGCCCGCACUGGAAGUUAAUGUAAAUUCAAGAACAAAGGCAUUCAUAUUUGUCCUUGCAUGUCAAGGAUUACUACUACUGGAAGUGUUUUCUAUUA